rnacentral:rRNA from 1 species
CGAAGGGUGCAAGCGUUACUCGGAAUUACUGGGCGUAAAGCGUGCGUAGGUGGUUUGUUAAGUCAGAUGUGAAAGCCCUGGGCGUCAACCUGGGAACGUGCAUUUGUAUACUGGCAGGCUAGAGUGCGGUAGAGGGGUGGCGGAAUUCCUGGUGUAGCAGUGAAAUAGCGUAGAGAUCAGGAGGAACAUCCGUGGCGAAGGCGGCACCCUGGGCCAGCACUGACACUGAGGCACGAAAGCGUGGGGAGCAAACAGGAUU